GAUGAACGCUGGCGGCGUGCUUAACACAUGCAAGUCGAACGGUGAAGCUCCAGCUUGCUGGAGUGGAUCAGUGGCGAACGGGUGAGUAACACGUGAGCAACCUGCCCCUGACUCUGGGAUAACAGCCGGAAACGGCUGCUAAUACCGGAUAUGCACCAUGAACGCAUGUUCUGUGGUGGGAAAGAUUUUUCGGUUGGGGAUGGGCUCGCGGCCUAUCAGCUUGUUGGUGAGGUAAUGGCUCACCAAGGCGUCGACGGGUAGCCGGCCUGAGGGGGUGACCGGCAAAAAGGGGAAUGGGAAACGGCCCAGACCCCUACGGGAGGCAGCAGGGGGGAAUAUUGCACAAGGGGCGAAAGCCUGAUGCAGAAACGCCGGGUGGGGGAGGACGGCCUUCGGGUUGUAAACCUUUUUUAGAGGGAAAGAAGCGAGGGGGACGGUACCUGCAGAAAAAGCGCCGGCUAACUAAGU
rnacentral:rRNA from 1 species